AGAGUUUGAUCCUGGCUCAGGAUGAACGCUGGUGGCGUGCCUUAGGCAUGCAAGUCGAACGGUCCGACGCAAGUCGGACAGUGGCAGACGGGUGAGUAACGCGUAGGAAUCUACCCCGAAGUGUGGAAUAGCCCCGCGAAAGCGGGGAUAAUACCGCAUAUUCUCGUGCAUAGCACGAGGAAAGGGCUUAACUGCCCGCUUUGGGAUGAGCCUGCGUCCUAUCAGCUUGUUGGUGAGGUAAAAGCUUACCAAGGCUAUGACGGGUAGGGGGUGUGAGAGCACGGCCCCCCACAAGGACACUGAGAUAUGGGUCCUACGUCUACGGACGGCAGCAACCAGGAAUAUUGCGCAAUGGGCGAAAGCCUGACGCAGCGACGCCGCGUGGAGGACGAAGGCCUUCGGGUCGUAAACUCCUUUUGACAGGGAUAAAUAAAUGAUAGUACCUGUAGAAUAAGCACCUGCAAACUACGUGCCAGCAGCCGCGGUAAUACGUAGGGUGCAAGCGUUAUCCGGAUUUACUGGGCGUAAAGAGUAUCGUAGGCGGUUUUUCAAGUCAGUUGUUAAAGACCUUGGCUCAACCAAGGGAAGGCAAUUGAUACUGGGGAACUUGAGUUAGGUCGGGGGUGUUGGAAUUCCCGGUGGAGGGGUGAAAUCCGUUGAUAUCGGGAAGAACACCGAAGGCGAAGGCAGACACCUAGACCUUAACUGACGCUGAUGAACGAAAGCUAGGGGAGCGAAAGGGAUUAGAGACCCCUGUAGUCCUAGUUGUAAACGAUGCCUACUAGUUGUUCCGAUGUUACAUCGGAAUGACGUAAGCUAACGCGUUAAGUAGGCCGCCUGGGAACUACGGCCGCAAGGUUAAAACUCAAAGGAAUUGACGGGGGAGCGCACAACCAGUGGAGCAUGUGGUUCAAUUCGAUACGAAGCGUUAAACCUUACCUGGGCUUGACAUUUUAGUGACAUCUUCGGGAAACCGAGGCUGCCGCAAGGACACUAGAACAGCUGCUGCAUGGCUGUCGUCAGCUCGUGUCGUGAGACGUACGCUUAAGUGCGGUAACGAGCGCAACCCUCACCCUAAGUUAAAUUUUCUUAGGGAACUGCCUCUGCUUAUGCGGGGGAGGAAGGAGAGGACGACGUCAAGUCAGCACGGCGCUUAUGUCCAGGGCUACACACAUCCUACAAUGGGAAGGACAAUGGGUUGCCAAGCCGUAAGGCGGAGCUAAUCCCACCAAACCUUCUCUCAGUUGGGAUUGAGGGCUGAAACCCGCCCUCAUGAACUCGGAAUUGGUAGUAAUCGCGGGUCAGCAGACCGCGGUGAAUACGUUCUCGCUCCUUGUCCACACUGCCCGUCAACUGAGGAAAGUCGGGAGCGCCCGAAGCCCCGAUUUAUCGGGAUUAGGGCGAGCUCGGUAAUCAGCGGUAAGUCGUAACAAGGUAACC
rnacentral:rRNA from 1 species